rnacentral:rRNA from 1 species
UUAGCAUGGAAUAAUAGAAUAGGACGCGUGGUUCUAUUUUGUUGGUUUCUAGGACCGCCGUAAUGAUUAAUAGGGACAGUCGGGGGCAUCAGUAUUCGAUUGUCAGAGGUGAAAUUCUUAGAUUUAUCGAAGACUAACUACUGCGAAAGCAUUUGCCAAGGAUGUUUUCAUUAAUCAGGAACGAAAGUUAGGGGAUCGAAGACGAUCAGAUACCGUCGUAGUCUUAACCAUAAACUAUGCCGACUAGGGAUCGGACGAUGUUUUUACUUGACUCGUCCGGCACCUUCCGAUAAAUCAAAGUGCUUGGGCUCCAGGGGGAGUAUGGUCGCAAGGCUGAAACUUAAAGAAAUUGACGGAAGGGCACCACCAGGGGUGGAGCCUGCGGCUUAAUUUGACUCAACACGGGGAAACUCACCAGGUCCAGACACAAUAAGGAUUGACAGAUUGAGAGCUCUUUCUUGAUUUUGUGGGUGGUGGUGCAUGGCCGUUCUUAGUUCGUGGGGUGACCUGUCAACUUGAUUGUGAUAACGAACGAGACCUUAACCUACUAAAUAGUCCGUAUUGCUUUGGCAGUACGCCGACUUCUUAGAGGGACUAUCGGUGUAAGCCGAUGGAAGUUUGAGGCAAUAACAGGUCUGUGAUGCCUUUAGAUGUUCUGGGCCGCACGCGCGCUACACUGACAGAGCCAGCGAGUACUCCCUUAACCGAAAGGUUUGGGUAAUCUUGUUAAACUCUGUCCUCAUGGGAUAGAGCAUUGCAAU